rnacentral:rRNA from 1 species
UACGUAGGGUGCGAGCGUUGUCCGGAAUUACUGGGCGUAAAGAGUUCGUAGGCGGUUUGUCGCGUUGUUCGUGAAAACUCACAACUCAAUUGUGGGCGUGCGGGCGAUACGGGCAGACUAGAGUACUGCAGGGGAGACUGGAAUUCCUGGUGUAGCGGUGGAAUGCGCAGAGUAUCAAGGAGGAACACCGGUGGGCGAAGGCGGGUCUCUGGGCAGUAACUGACGC